rnacentral:rRNA from 1 species
GCUCUUGAACGAGGAAUCAAAGUAAGUACAAGUCACUAGCUUGUGCUGAUUACGUCCUGUCUUUGUACACACCGCCCGUCGCUACUACCGAUUGAAUGGCUUAGUGAGGCCCUCGGAUUGAGGCUCGGAGACUGUCUCUCUUAACUAGAAGAAAUUUGAAAAGUUGGUCAAACUUGGUCAUUUAGAGGAAGUGAAAGUCGUAACAAGGUUUCCGUAGGUGAACCUGCGGAAGGAUGAUUACCAAUUUUUAGCGGACCUGAUCUUUGAUCAUGGUCUCGCGAAAACUUGUAUUUAAAACCCCACUCUUAUAAAUUGAAUCAUUUUUUAUAUUGUAUAAUAAAUAAAGAUCACUUUCAACAACGGAUCUCUUGGCUCUCGCAUCGAUGAAGAACGUAGCGAAGUUCUUAUAUUUUAAUGUGAAUUGCAGAAUUCCGUGAAUCAUCGAAUCUUUGAACGCGGAGGGGCGGGGCGCUUCAGAGACCACCCCCUGUUUGAGGGUCAGUAUUAAUAAAAAUCGGUGCGUUGCAAAUUUUUGUGACGUUUCCGGAGUUUGAGUUAUCUUAACUUCGGUUUUAAGAGGCUUAAAAUUGACCUUUUUUUUGUGCAUUUUAGACGUACAUAAAUCUUUUUUUAUUCGUCUAUCCCUAAUGCCCAAAAUCUAUUAGAUGCGACCAUAUCUGGUGGUUUCGUGUCUAUAAAUUUUUCAUAAUUUGACCUCAAUCAGUAGGGAUACCCGCUGACUUAAGCAUAUCAUAGCGGAGGAAAAGAAAAAUACAUGAUUCCCCUAGUAACUGGCGAGUGAGAGGGAACAGCUCCAAAUUUUAAAUCUGUUAAGUUUACCCUGACCGGUUGUAUUGAAGAAGGGCGUUUCCGGCGUAUUUGUUCAACCCAAGUCCUAUUGGAUUGAAGGCAUCCAUGGAGGGUGAUUAAUUCCGGUUCGGUUGAUACUUGCAUUCUCUACGGAAUCGGCUUCAAAGAGUCAAGUGUGAAUGCAGCUUAAUUGGGAGGAUACUUCUCC